rnacentral:rRNA from 1 species
GCAAGUCGAGGGGUAACAGGGUCUUCGGACCGCUGACGACCGGCAAACGGGUGCGGAACACGUACACAACAUACCUUUUACAGGGGGAUAGCCCAGAGAAAUCUGGAUUAAUACCCCGUAGUAUAAUAGAGAGGCAUCUCUUUAUUAUUAAAAAUUUAUUGGUAAAGAUUGGUGUGCGUCCCAUUAGAUAGUUGGCGGGGUAACGGCCCACCAAGUCGACGAUGGGUAGCUGGUGUGAGAGCACGACC